CCUACGGGAGGCAGCAGUGAGGAAUAUUGGUCAAUGGCCGAGAGCCUGAACCAGCCAAGUCGCGUGAGGGAGUACUGCCCUAUGGGUUGUAAACCUCUUUUGUCGGGGAGCAAAAGCCGGACGUGUCCGGCUGUGAGAGUACCCGAAGAAAAAACAUCGGCUAACUCCGUGCCAGCAGCCGCGGUAAUACGGAGAAUGCGAGCGUUAUCCGGAUUUAUUGGGGUUAAAGGGUGCGCAGGCGGAUUUUUAAGUCAGCGGUCAAAUCGUGGGGUUCAACCCCAUCCAGCCGUUGAAACUGGGGAUCUAGAGUGUGCGAGAAGUAUGCGGAAUGCGUGGUGUAGCGGUGAAAUGCAUAGAUAUCACGCAGAACCCCGAUUGCGAAGGCAGCAUACCGGUGCACAACUGACGCUCAGGCACGAAAGCGUGGGUAUCGAACAGGAUUAGAUACCCGAGUAGUC
rnacentral:rRNA from 1 species